ACGGAUCUUUGAAAGCACGGCCCGACUCCAAGCUCUCUUUGACCCGACAACAGAUGCCAUGGAUGCAUAAGCAGCAUGUUUUACCCUUCGUGAAUUGGUUUUAUCCUGCUGGUUCAUUUUUCUAAGGGAGUGAAGAAACCGAUAAGCAAAUCUACUUCUGAUGAUGCAACUUCUUGUAGUAGUCAUAGAAUUAAUUUUAGGGUUUAAUUGGAAAAAACAAAAGGGUUUUUGGAGAAGAUAUGUUUUUUUAACAAAGGGACCUUAGCUUGUUGUUUGAUCACAAGGACGAUAAAAAAAGAAAGCUUAAGUUUUCUCUGACUUCUGACACACACAAUAUACUUUUAUAACAAAAAUAAAAUAAACAAGAGGGGUGAGGUGGUGUGGGUGCAUGGGUGGGUAGGAGAAGGGAAUAUGAAUAAAAGGAAAGAGAGAAAGGGUAAAGGUGAGAGGA
rnacentral:misc_RNA from 1 species